UAAGUGUUAAUUAGGUUUACCUGGGUAGUAUUAGUUAUAAUCUUUAAACUCAAAGAAUUUGGCGGUACCUUAUUCAAUUCAGAGGAACCUAUCCCGUAAUUGAUAAUACACGAUUGACUUUACUUAAUUUAUUUGUUUGUAUAUCUCCGUUAUCAGAAAAUCUUUUUAGAGUUAUAAUUUUCUUAAUUUAAAAUUAUAAAUUAUUUCAGGUCAAGGUGCAGCUUAUAAUUAAGAGGAGAUGGGUUACAAUAGAUUUUUGUUUAAAACGGAUUUAAUAUUGAAAUAUUAUUAAUGAAGGUGGAUUUGAUAGUAAUUUAACAUAUUUAAUUUAAUUGAUAUUGGCUCUGAGGU
rnacentral:rRNA from 1 species